UAUGGAGGUUCCUGGAGGAUGGUGUGCCCAGGGAGGGGAUGGAAGCUUCAUGCCCCUUCCUCCAUAACUCUGCCCUAUUCAUCUCUUCAUCUGAAGCACAAGCAACCCGUGGAAAAGCCCAUGUGGAGGAGAACCAAGACCCCCAGCCAAAUACCCUGCUGAGCUCCCAGCUGACAGACCGCAUCAACUUGCCAGCCACAUGAGUGAGCUGUCCUGGACGCGAGUUCUGCAACCUCUGGGCAAGCCACCUCAGCUGAUGCCACGUGAAGCAGAAAUGAGCUGCCUCCACCAAGCCGUGCCCAAAUCACAGAUCUGUGGGUAAAAUAAAUGAUUGUUAUUAUUAUAAAAAA
rnacentral:lncRNA from 1 species